AUCUUUGCGCUUGGGGCAGUGACGCAACUAAUGAGGUACUAACCGAAUGCGCGUCUAUUGCUGGUUGAAAACUAUUCCCAAACCCCCCCUCAUUUCUAAGUUAGACCCUAA
rnacentral:snRNA from 1 species